rnacentral:rRNA from 1 species
UGUUUCGGCUAGGGGGCCAUCCCGGCUUACCAACCCGAUGCAAACUGCGAAUACCGGAGAAUGUUAUCACGGGAGACACACGGCGGGUGCUAACGUCCGUCGUGAAGAGGGAAACAACCCAGACCGCCAGCUAAGGUCCCAAAGUCAUGGUUAAGUGGGAAACGAUGUGGGAAGGCCCAGACAGCCAGGAUGUUGGCUUAGAAGCAGCCAUCAUUUAAAGAAAGCGUAAUAGCUCACUGGUCGAGUCGGCCUGCGCGGAAGAUGUAACGGGGCUAAACCAUGCACCGAAGCUGCGGCAGCGACACUAUGUGUUGUUGGGUAGGGGAGCGUUCUGUAAGCCUGCGAAGGUGGCCUGUGAGGGUUGCUGGAGGUAUCAGAAGUGCGAAUGCUGACAUAAGUAACGAUAAAGCGGGUGAAAAGCCCGCUCGCCGGAAGACCAAGGGUUCCUGUCCAACGUUAAUCGGGGCAGGGUGAGUCGACCCCUAAGGCGAGGCCGAAAGGCGUAGUCGAUGGGAAACGGGUUAAUAUUCCCGUACUUGGUGUUACUGCGAAGGGGGGACGGAGAAGGCUAUGUUGGCCGGGCGACGGUU